AACGAACGCUGGCGGCAUGCCUAACACAUGCAAGUCGAACGAGACCUUCGGGUCUAGUGGCGCACGGGUGCGUAACGCGUGGGAACCUGCCCUUAGGUUCGGAAUAACUCCCCGAAAGGGGUGCUAAUACCGGAUAAUGUCUUCGGACCAAAGAUUUAUCGCCUUUGGAUGGGCCCGCGUUGGAUUAGCUAGUUGGUAGGGUAAAAGCCUACCAAGGCGACGAUCCAUAGCUGGUCUGAGAGGAUGAGCAGCCACACUGGGACUGAGACACGGCCCAGACUCCUACGGGAGGCAGCAGUGGGGAAUAUUGGACAAUGGGCGAAAGCCUGAUCCAGCAAUGCCGCGUGAGUGAUGAGGGCCUUAGGGUUGUAAAGCUCUUUUACCCGGGAUGAUAAUGACAGUACCGGGAGAAUAAGCUCCGGCUAACUCCGUG
rnacentral:rRNA from 1 species